rnacentral:tRNA from 1 species
ACGUGCAUAACUCAGUUGGUAGAGUGCCCGACCUAAGUAUGGGCCCAUCGGGAAGUCCCGAGUUCGAAUCUCGGUGCACGCGCCA